rnacentral:rRNA from 1 species
UACGUAGGGUGCGAGCGUUGUCCGGAAUUAUUGGGCGUAAAGAGCUUGUAGGCGGUUUGUCGCGUCUGCCGUGAAAUUUCGAGGCUCAACCUCGAACUUGCGGUGGGUACGGGCAGACUAGAGUGUGGUAGGGGAGACUGGAAUUCCUGGUGUAGCGGUGAAAUGCGCAGAUAUCGGGAGGAACACCGGUGGCGAAGGCGGUUCUCUGGGCCUUACCUGACGCUGAGGAGCGAAAGCGUGGGGAGCGAACAGG